CUGAGGAUGCAGCUCAGUGGUAAAGUGAUUGCCUCACAUGCAAGAAUCUCUGGGUUCAAUCCCCAGCAAUAGG
rnacentral:tRNA from 1 species